GGAUGAACGCUGGCGGCGUGCUUAACACAUGCAAGUCGAACGGAAAGGCCACAGCUUGCUGUGGUACUCGAGUGGCGAACGGGUGAGUAACACGUGGGUGAUCUGCCCUGUACUUCGGGAUAAGCUUGGGAAACUGGGUCUAAUACCGGAUAGGAAUCACAUGUGGGUGUGUGGUUGGAAAGCUUUUGCGGUAUGGGAUGAGCUCGCGGCCUAUCAGCUUGUUGGUGGGGUAAUGGCCUACCAAGGCGUCGACGGGUAGCCGGCCUGAGAGGGUGUACGGCCACAUUGGGACUGAGAUACGGCCCAGACUCCUACGGGAGGCAGCAGUGGGGAAUAUUGCACAACGGGCGCAAGCCUGAUGCAGCGACGCCGCGUGGGGGAUGACGGCCUUCGGGUUGUAAACUCCUUUCGUCAGGGACGAAGCGAAAGUGACGGUACCUGGAGAAGAAGCACCGGCUAACUACGUG
rnacentral:rRNA from 1 species